UCUAGCUCAGUAGCUGCUCACCAGGUACCAAGGGAUCUAUUAAUUUGCUGAAGCAACAAAACCACAUAUGGAAUAGCAAUUGCAACUGGAGUCAGCACCUGACUAUGUUUAUGAUAAUCCAGUGUCAUUCUCCGAGAUCCAUCUGUUGUCUGCAUAGGAUGUUGCUGAGCCAGCCGAGCGGAUGAGAAUCCAGGUUUUGAGGUGAGCUGGAAGGCCAGCUCCACCCUCUUCCUCGAGCAUCUUUCCAGCCUCCUAUUUUGCUGCCAUGAGAGGAAGACAGUGAAUUCCAGGAACUGUCUCCUCCCAACUCUCCUGGUCCAGGAGUGAGGCCUGCAUGCCAGUUGCCUGUGUGAUGAGACAGAACUCAGCUCUUCUGCUUACUGGCUGUGUGUCCCUGGAUAAGUGAGUGUAUGGAGCUCUGGGCCAGGAACUCUCAGACCAAUUGAUAAUAAGAUCAAGUUCAGUGCCAUUUGCUGUCUGGUGAGAACUUCUUGGCUUUCCUUGUCUGUCCUCCUGGGAUUAUAUUUCUUUAUUUAUUCAUUUUGAUAGUAGCAUCAUAUAAA